GAUGAACGCUGGCGGCGUGCCUAAUACAUGCAAGUCGAGCGAACGGACGAGAAGCUUGCUUCUCUGAUGUUAGCGGCGGACGGGUGAGUAACACGUGGAUAACCUACCUAUAAGACUGGGAUAACUUCGGGAAACCGGAGCUAAUACCGGAUAAUAUUUUGAACCGCAUGGUUCAAAAGUGAAAGACGGUCUUGCUGUCACUUAUAGAUGGAUCCGCGCUGCAUUAGCUAGUUGGUAAGGUAACGGCUUACCAAGGCAACGAUGCAUAGCCGACCUGAGAGGGGGGAGGGCCCCUGGGAAGGUGAAAGGCGGCCCGGGUCCCCAGGGGGGGCACAGAUGGGGAAUGGUCGCAAAUGGGGGAAAGCCUGCCGAAGGAACGCAGGGGGGGUGAAGAAGGGCCGCGGGCGGGAAAACGUUUUUAGUGGGGAAAAACAAUUUUGCAGGUAACGGUGCCCGAUUUACGGUAACCUAAAAAGAAGCCCCGGGUAACUACGUG
rnacentral:rRNA from 1 species